GGUUUCAGGGGCUGCUUGGAGUGGCCGUCUCCCUGUCACGGAGUACAACCAGGAGGGUUCGAAUCCCUUUGAGACCG
rnacentral:tRNA from 1 species